CACGUAGGGGCGAGCGUUGUCCGGAAUCAUUGGGCGUAAAGAGCUCGUAGGCGGCUCGGUAAGUCGGGUGUGAAACCCCCAGGCUCAACCUGGGGACGCCACCCGAUACUGCUGUGGCUAGAGUCCAGUAGGGGAGUGUGGAAUUCCCGGUGUAGCGGUGAAAUGCGCAGAUAUCGGGAGGAACACCAGCGGCGAAGGCGGCACUCUGGGCUGGAACUGACGCUGAGGAGCGAAAGCGUGGGUAGCAAACGAGG
rnacentral:rRNA from 1 species